AUGAUACUCAUCUAUCCCAGGAGGCCACGCGAGAGGAUACGUCAAUGCACAUAGCUUGCAAACUGCCAAUAAAAAUCACAGAAGAAGAAGAAGAAGAAGAGAGGAUACGUCAAUAUCAACAUCGCGGAGAUAAGCGACGCGGGGGUUUUCAAAUGGACAGGAGAACACGCGUGUGUUUAUCCAGUGGAGAGAGGCUCAUGAUGCUGAAUGCUGUCAUCAAAGAAUGGGAACCGCUGUGUUGAGUCGGCAGUAGGGUUUGGGGUUCAGUGCCUGUAAAUACAUGCUUGUAGUUUGAAUAAAGCUGUUUCAUGUGUUGACUUGUA